rnacentral:rRNA from 1 species
GACGAACGCUGGCGGCGUGCUUAACACAUGCAAGUCGAACGGAAAGGCCCUGCUUUUGUGGGGUGCUCGAGUGGCGAACGGGUGAGUAACACGUGAGUAACCUGCCCUUGACUUUGGGAUAACUUCAGGAAACUGGGGCUAAUACCGGAUAGGAGCUCCUGCUGCAUGGUGGGGGUUGGAAAGUUUCGGCGGUUGGGGAUGGACUCGCGGCUUAUCAGCUUGUUGGUGGGGUAGUGGCUUACCAAGGCUUUGACGGGUAGCCGGCCUGAGAGGGUGACCGGCCACAUUGGGACUGAGAUACGGCCCAGACUCCUAAGGGAGGCAGCAGUGGGGAAUAUUGCAAAAUGGGCGGAAGCCUGAUGCAGCAACGCCGCGUGCGGGAUGACGGCCUUCGGGUUGUAAACCGCUUUCGCCUGUGACGAAGCGUGAGUGACGGUAAUGGGUAAAGAAGAACCGGCUAACUACGUG